rnacentral:rRNA from 1 species
GAGACAGCAGUCGCCACGGGAAUACGUAGGGUGCAAGCGUUGUCCGGAAUUAUUGGGCGUAAAGAGCUCGUAGGCGGUUUGUCGCGUCUGCUGUGAAAUCCGGAGGCUCAACUUCCGGCCUGCAGUGGGUACGGGCAGACUAGAGUGCGGUAGGGGAGAUUGGAAUUCCUGGUGUAGCGGUGGAAUGCGCAGAUAUCAGGAGGAACACCGAUGGCGAAGGCAGAUCUCUGGGCCGUAACUGACGCUGAGGAGCGAAAGCAUGGGGAGCGAACAGGAUUAGAUACCCGCGUAGUCCCUGUCUCUUAUAC